UCUCCAUUUCACAUACUCUCUCACCGGUCGAGGGGUGAGAGAGUAUGUGAAAUGGAGAAA
rnacentral:pre_miRNA from 1 species